rnacentral:rRNA from 1 species
GACGAACGCUGGCGGCGUGCUUAACACAUGCAAGUCGAACGGUAAGGCCCUUUCGGGGGUCCACGAGUGGCGAACGGGUGAGUAACACGUGGGUGAUCUGCCCUGCACUUUGGGAUAAGCCUGGGAAACUGGGUCUAAUACCGGAUAGGACUACGCGAUGCAUGUCGUGUGGUGGAAAGCUUUUGCGGUGUGGGAUGGGCCCGCGGCCUAUCAGCUUGUUGGUGGGGUGAUGGCCUACCAAGGCGACGACGGGUAGCCGGCCUGAGAGGGUGUCCGGCCACACUGGGACUGAGAUACGGCCCAGACUCCUACGGGAGGCAGCAGUGGGGAAUAUUGCACAAUGGGCGCAAGCCUGAUGCAGCGACGCCGCGUGGGGGAUGACGGCCUUCGGGUUGUAAACCCCUUUCAGCACAGACGAAGCGUAAGUGACGGUAUGUGCAGAAGAAGCACCGGCCAACUACGU